rnacentral:rRNA from 1 species
CACGCCGUAAACGAUGGGCACUAGGUGUGGGAGGUGUCGACUCCUUCCGUGCCGAAGCUAACGCAUUAAGUGCCCCGCCUGGGGAGUACGGCCGCAAGGCUAAAACUCAAAGGAAUUGACGGGGCCCCGCACAAGCAGCGGAGCAUGUGGUUUAAUUCGACGCAACGCGAAGAACCUUACCUGGGUUUGACAUGUUCUCGUAACUCCUGGAAACAGGAGCCCUCUUCGGAGCGGGAUCACAGGUGG